AGUGAACGCUGGCGGUAGGCCUAACACAUGCAAGUCGAACGGCAGCACAGUAAGAGCUUGCUCUUACGGGUGGCGAGUGGCGGACGGGUGAGGAAUACAUCGGAAUCUACUUUUUCGUGGGGGAUAACGUAGGGAAACUUACGCUAAUACCGCAUACGACCUACGGGUGAAAGCAGGGGAUCUUCGGACCUUGCGCGAUUGAAUGAGCCGAUGUCGGAUUAGCUAGUUGGCGGGGUAAAGGCCCACCAAGGCGACGAUCCGUAGCUGGUCUGAGAGGAUGAUCAGCCACACUGGAACUGAGACACGGUCCAGACUCCUACGGGAGGCAGCAGUGGGGAAUAUUGGACAAUGGGCGCAAGCCUGAUCCAGCCAUACCGCGUGGGUGAAGAAGGCCUUCGGGUUGUAAAGCCCUUUUGUUGGGAAAGAAAAGCAGCAGGUUAAUACCCCGCUGUUCUGAAGGUACCCAAAGAAUAAGCACCGGCUAACUUCGU
rnacentral:rRNA from 1 species